CAAACACCUCCCACCAGGUCCCACCCUCAGCAUUGGGGAUUACAAUUCAACACGAGAUUUGGGCUGGGACAAAUAUCCAGACUAUCUCAUAGGGUACACACUGGCCUCACAAAAUGAGUUUGCAAAUGUUCCUUUGUCUUCAAUUGUUUUUGGAAGGGUUUGAGAAGAACUGCCAUUAGUUAUUUUUUAAAUGUUUGCAAGAAUUCACGUGUGGAGCUAUCUGAUCCUGGACUUUUCUUUGCUGGGAGUUUUUUGAUUACCAAUUCUAUCUCCUUACUAGUGACAGGUCUGUUCAGAUUUUCUGUUUCUUCAUGAUUCAGUCUUGGUAGUUUACAUUUCUAGAAAUGUAUCUAUUUCUUCUAGGUUACCCACUUUGUUGAUGUAUAAUUGUUCAUAGUUGUCCCUUAUAAUCCUCUUUAUUUCUGUGGCACCAGUUGCAAUGUCUCCUCUUCCAUUUCUGAUUUUAUCUGAAUCUUUUUUCAUUUGUUCUUUUCAAAAAACCAAUUCUUAGUUUUGAUUUUUUUUCUGUUGUUUUCCUAUUCUCCAUUUCAUUUAUUUCUGUUCUGACUUAAUUAUUCUCUUCCUCUUCCCAAGUUUGGGCUUAGUAUGUUUUUCUUUUUCUGAUUCCUUGAGGUAUAGAAUCAGGUUGCUUAUUUGAGAUCUGAGAUCCUUCUUUUUUUUUUUUUUUUUUUUUUUUGAGACAGGGUCUCAUUCUGUUACCCAGACUGGACUGCAGUGGCACAAUCUUGGCUCACUGCAACUUCUGUCUCCCAGGCUCAAGCGAUCCUCCCACCUCAGCCUCCUGAGUAGCUAGGACUAUAGGUCUGUGCCACCACACCCAGCUAAUUUUUUUAUAGAGACAGGGUUUCACCAUGUUGACCAGGCUGGUCUCCAACUCCUGAGCUCAAGAGAUCCACCCACCUAGUGGAUCCUCCCAAAGUGCUGGGUCUACAGGUAUGACCCACCGCACCCGGCCCCUCCUUCUUUUUUAAUGUAGGUAUGUAUUGCUAUAAACUUCCCUCCUAGUACUGCAUUUGCUAAAUCCAAUAAGUUUUAGUAUGAUAGUUUUCAUUUCUGUUUGUCUCAAACUAUUUUCUAAUUUCCCUUAUUUCUUCUUGACCGAAUUGGUUGUUCCAGAGCAUGUUGUUUAAUUUCCACAUAUUUGAAUUUUCCAACUUGCCUUCUGCUACUGACUUCUAGUUUCAUCCCAAUGUGGUCCAAAAAGAUACUUGGUAUUAUUUCAAUCUUCUUAAAUGUGUUGACUUAUUUUGUGACCUAACAGGUGAUUGAUCCUGAAGAAAGUUCUGUGUAUCCUAGAAAAGAAUGUGCAUUCUGCUGCUGUUGGGUGGAUGCAUUUACUUUUUUUUUUUUUUUUUGAGAUGGAGUCUCGUUCUUUCACCCAAGCUGGAGUGCAGUGGCACGAUCUCGGCUCACUGCAACCUCUGCCUCCCAGAUUCAAGCGAUUCUCCGGCCUCAGCCUCCCAAGUAGCUGGGAUUACAAGCACACACCACCACGCCUGGCUAAUUUUUGUAUUUUUAAUAGAGACGGAGUUUCACCAUGUUGGCCAGGCUGGUCUUGAACUCCUGACCUCAGGUGAGCUGCCCACCUCAGCCUUCCAAAGUGCUAGGAUUACAGGCAUGAGCCACCACACCCGGCCUGCAUUCACUUUUUAAAACAAAAAUGGUUGAGCUCGUAGUUAAUAAAAUCUUGGAUUUUUGUCAGAUGAAUUGCUUUUAAGAAGGGUCUACCUUAUCAGAACCUGUGCAACUAAAUUACUGAAUCUAAGUGAAAUAUUAAAUAUUUAUUUCUAUCUUAUUUCCAAAUUGUUAGUUUCAGUCAAUUCAAUGAAUUUUUUCUCAUUCUGCUAAAGAGCUUUUAAUUAUUUCAAUAAGUAGUACAUAUAGAUGGUAAGCAAUGACAGUAGUACCAAAGGGUAAAAAAUGUCUUAAACCUACUAUUCUCCUCCCUGGUGGAAACCACCAUUCCCAGUUUCUUGUGUAUUUUUCCAGCAUUAUCCUCUGUGUAUGUAUAUGAUUGUGCAAAUAAUAUUUAAGAAAAUAUACAGAAAUGGCAGCACACUAUAUAUACUACUAUGCUAACUUUUUUCACUUAACACAGAGACCAGGAAAAGACUCUUAAAGGAGGCCUUUGAGCAGAUGAAUGAAUGACGACAGAGUCACCUGUGCAAGAUAUGAAGGAACGGUGAUAUUCCAUACAGAAGGCACAGCAAGUACAAAUGCCCUAAGAUGGGAAUGAGCUUGGCAUAUAUUAGGAACAGAAAGAAACCCAUGCUACUGGAGCUUACUGAAUGAGCAGGAAAGACAUAUAAGAAAAGUUGAAGACGUAGAUAGGAGUCAGAUUAUACUGGUAGAUAGGAGUCAGAUUAUACUGGGCUUUCGGGUAAUGAUGGGAAAAUCUGAUUUGUUUCUCUUCAAUAUUGGAAUUCUCUGGCGAUUUGGGAAUAGUUGUUGAAACAGUAAAAAAUAAAAUCAUCUAACAAUUUUACCUACAUACAUAUCAUGAGAUACCAUAAAAUGCUUGGCUGAAAUCAAGAUACUCAUUUUAAAAGCUGCGUAAUAAAUGAUUUCUUAAUAAAAGGAUUCAUUUUUACACUCUUAGCCAAAGGCCAGAAUUAUUGCAAACAGAGACAAACUUGUAACAGUGAGAUGGUCCUGAAAGAGGGCCUCCCUACACUUGUUUAAUAAUGAGACAGGGACUCAAGUAAGAAGUUAACCUGAAGCCUGAGAACGGGAUUCUAAUAGAGUGGAGAGAGGCCUGGUAUAGGAGUCAGAGACCUCAGUUUGACAUUACUAAAUUUCCUUUUGCCUGCCUCAGUUUUCCCACCUGUGAGGUAACACUUCCUGGCUAUGUAUCUCACAACAUUUUUCAGAAAAUCAAAUGAGGUAAUGCAUGUGAUGGUUAUUUGCAUACUGCAUAGUAUUAACAUGUGUACAGUAUUAUUAUUUUUGAAUAAAACUACAGGAAGAAUAUUGUGUGAGGGAGAAUGUAGAACUAUUAAAUAACACAUCAGUAAAUAUGUGUUGAAAGCUUCCUGUACUUCGUAUGUUCAGCCCUGUAAUAAUAAGCCAAUGUGAUAAAUAUUUAUUUAGUAUCUAUUAUUUUGAAGGCCUGGUGAUACAUACAGCAAGUGAUACAGCAGCAAGUAAGACAGCAGGAAACCAGAAUUCCCAGUGGUCACACUUUGGAGGUAUCUUCAUUGGACUGGAGAGGCACUAUGGAGGAGUUAAAGCAUACAGCAAAUGGAACUGAAUUGCCUGAGCUUGAAGCCUGGUUUCACUGCUCUCUAGCUGUAUAACUGGGCUAGUUACUUAGCCUGUUUGUAUCCCAGUUUCCACCGAGGCUGAAUUGAAUGAAUAUAGGUGAAUGGUGUGGAACAGUGUCCAGCACAUAGUGAGCACUUGUGACCUGCCGCUUCUCCAUCAACAGGUGGUGUCCCCUCACCUUGAAUCUGCGUGGGCUUUUCACACCUUUGUUCAAUACAGCAUGGUGGAAGUAACUCUAUGAGUUACAACACAACAUUCAGCUUCUAUCUGGUCUACCAGAACACAUGCAUUUGGAGCCCUGAGGCCACCAUGCUUGUGAGGAGGCUGAGCCACAUGGGGAGGCCACAUGGAGGUGCUCUGGUCAGCAGCCCUACUCUACAAGCCACCUUUUUAUCCCAGGUAUGAGAGUGAAGCAGCCUCCAGGUAUGAGGAUUCCAGCCCCCAGCCGCUGAGUCACUCUCAGCUUUUAAGCCUUUCCAUCUGAGAACUCAGAUGUCCCAGAGCAGAAUGAACACAUCCUUUUUGUGCCCUAUCCAAAUUCCUGACCCACAGAAUCUAUGAGCUUAUUAAAAUGGUGGUUGUUUUAAG
rnacentral:lncRNA from 1 species